UUCCAGGAAUUCCAGGUCAGCCUGGGCCAGAGUGAGACCCUACCUUGAAAAGCCAAAAAAAAAAAAAAAAAAGGAGUUCUCAGGGCUGCCAACCUUACAGUAGAGGUUGAGUAGUAGUAUAUUUCUACUAUAUUA
rnacentral:snoRNA from 1 species